CCUACGGGUGGCAGCAGUGAGGAAUAUUGGUCAAUGGACGCAAGUCUGAACCAGCCAUGCCGCGUGCAGGAAGACGGCUCUAUGAGUUGUAAACUGCUUUUGUACGAGGGUAAAUCCCGAUACGUGUAUCGGGUUGAAAGUAUCGUACGAAUAAGGAUCGGCUAACUCCGUGCCAGCAGCCGCGGUAAUACGUAGGGGGCAAGCGUUGUCCGGAAUGACUGGGCGUAAAGGGAGUGUAGGCGGCUCAUCAAGUUAGAUGUGAAAUCCCGCGGCUUAACCGCGGAACUGCAUCUAAAACUGGUAAGCUGGAGUGCAGGAGAGGUGAGUGGAAUUCCUAGUGUAGCGGUGGAAUGCGUAGAUAGUAGGAGGAACACCAGAGGCGAAGGCGACUCACUGGACUGUAACUGACGCUGAGGCUCGAAAGCGUGGGGAGCAAACAGGAUUAGAUACCCUGGUAGUC
rnacentral:rRNA from 1 species